AGGUGAACCGAGUGCAAGCACCAGCGAUAGGGGAAAAGGGCAGAUCCAUGGUUGAUUAAGCAAAGUUUAGAAGCGAGUGAUCUCGCUCGUGGGUAGCUGCACGUGUCAAGUCACUACCCUCCUUUUUGCUGGUACAGUUGGAGUUCUCACGUGGCAUGCUUAGGCUAACUUUUGAUUGUAUAUAGUUGGUUUGGAAAUGUAAGGUUAUGUAACCUUCUUUUGCUAAUGGGAUUGUAAAUAAUUGUCGAAGCAUGAAUUUUGUUAUGCAUAGUAGUAAAUGGUUGUGCUAACAGGUGUAGUUACUUAUAUAAUAGUGUUGUAUGUUGAGAGUU